rnacentral:rRNA from 1 species
UACGUAGGGGGGCGAGCGUUGUCCGGAUUUAUUGGGCGUAAAGAGCUCGUAGGUGGUUCGGUAAGUCGGAUGUGAAAUCUCCAGGCUCAACCUGGAGGGGUCAUUCGAUACUGCCGUGACUAGAGGUCGGUAGGGGAGUGUGGAAUUCCUGGUGGAGCGGUGAAAUGCGCAGAUAUCAGGAGGAACACCCGUAGCGAAGGCGGCACUCUGGGCCGAUACUGACACUGAGGAGCGAAAGCGUGGGGAGCGAACAGG